CGUUGUAACACUGGUUCCUGUACAGUCACCAAAGUUAAACAACGUUGAGCCUGGUCAGUACCUCGGUGGGUGACUGCCUGAGAAUACCAGGUGCU